rnacentral:rRNA from 1 species
GUCUACGGCCAUACCACGCUGAACGCGCCCAAUCUUGUCUGAUCUCAGAAGCUUAGCAGGGUCAGGCCUGGUUAGUAUUUGGAUGGGUGAUCGCCUUAAAAAGGCAGAAAACCAGGCA